rnacentral:rRNA from 1 species
UGCCAGCAGCCGCGGUAAUACGGAGGGUGCGAGCGUUAAUCGGAAUUACUGGGCGUAAAGGGCGCGUAGGCGGCCAGAUAAGUCGGGUGUGAAAGCCCCGGGCUCAACCCGGGAAUUGCACUCGAUACUGUCUGGCUAGAGUAUGGUAGAGGAAAGCGGAAUUCCGGGUGUAGCGGUGAAAUGCGUAGAUAUCCGGAGGAACACCAGUGGCGAAGGCGGCUUUCUGGACCAAUACUGACGCUGAGGCGCGAAAGCGUGGGGAGCAAACAGGAUUAGAUA